UACGUAGGGAGCAAGCGUUGUCCGGAAUCAUUGGGCGUAAAGCGCGCGUAGGCGGCCCUGUAAGUCCGUUGUGAAAGUCAAAGGCUCAACCUUUGAAAGCCGAUGGAUACUGCAGGGCUAGAGUCCGGAAGAGGCGAGUGGAAUUCCUGGUGUAGCGGUGGAAUGCGCAGAUAUCAGGAGGAACACCAAUAGCGAAGGCAGCGCGCUGGGACGGUACUGACGCUAAGGAGCGAAAGCGUGGGGAGCGAACAGG
rnacentral:rRNA from 1 species